rnacentral:rRNA from 1 species
AAACAUUUUUGGGAGAAAUAUAUUUUUGAUACCACCUGCUCCAUGCUUUUGUAAAUAGCUGCAGUAUUUUGACUGUACAAAGGUAGCAUAAUAAUUAGUCUUUUAAUUGAAGGCUGGAAUGAAUGGUUUAACGGAAAAUAUUCUUUAUUGUUAUUAUUUGAAUUUAAUUUUUGAGUUAAAAAGCUUAAAUUUUUAAGAGGGACGAGAAGACCCUAUAGAAUUUUAAUAAUUUUAUAAUUAUUUAAUUGGGGUGAUAAAAAUCAACAUUUUUGUAAUUUCAUUAUAAAUGAUGAAUGAUCCUAAUUUAGAUAAAAAGAUUUAAUUACCUUAGGGAUAACAGCAUAAUUUUUCUUGAAAGAUCAUAUUUAUAGAAAAGAUUAUGACCUCGAUGUUGAAUUAAGAUAAUAUUUAGAUGCAGAAGUUUAAAA